UACGUAGGGUGCAAGCGUUGUCCGGAAUUAUUGGGCGUAAAGAGCGUGUAGGCGGCCCGAUUAGUCCGCUGUGAAAGUCCAGGGCUCAACCCUGGAAUGCCGGUGGAUACUGUCGGGCUAGAGUACGGAAGAGGCGAGUGGAAUUCCUGGUGUAGCGGUGAAAUGCGCAGAUAUCAGGAGGAACACCAAUUGCGAAGGCAGCUCGCUGGGACGUUACUGACGCUGAGACGCGAAAGCGUGGGGAGCAAACAGG
rnacentral:rRNA from 1 species